GCCGGGGUAGCCUAGCCAGGUAAGGCGCGAGCCUGGAGAGCUCGUGGCCCGUUGGGCCUCGAGGGUUCAAAUCCCUCCCCCGGCG
rnacentral:tRNA from 1 species